rnacentral:rRNA from 1 species
UACGGAGGGGGCUAGCGUUGUUCGGAGUUACUGGGCGUAAAGCGCACGCAGGCGGUCUGCUAAGUUUGGAGUGACAGUUGGUGGCUUAACUGCCAAAGUGCUUCGAAAACUGACAGACUUGAGGGCUUCAGAGGGACACGGAAUUCCGGGUGGAGUGGUGAAAUGCGUAGAGAUCCGGAGGGACACCAAAGGCGAAGGCAGUGUCCUGGGGAGUACCUGACGCUCAGGUGCGAAAGCCAGGGGAGCGAACGGG